CCCGUUGUACACACCGCCCGUCACACCAUGGGAGUUGGUUUUACCUGAAGCCGGUGCGCUAACCCGCAAGGGAGGCAGCCGACCACGGUAGGGUCAGCGACUGGGGUG
rnacentral:rRNA from 1 species